ACUCCUACGGGAGGCAGCAGUGAGGAAUAUUGGGCAAUGGGCGGAAGCCUGACCCAGCCAUGCCGCGUGCAGGAAGACGGUCCUAUGGAUUGUAAACUGCUUUAUACGGGAAGAAACACCCCCUCGUGAGGGACUGACGUACCGUAAGAAUAAGGAUCGGCUAACUCCGUGCCAGCAGCCGCGGUAAUACGGAGGAUCCAAGCGUUAUCCGGAAUCAUUG
rnacentral:rRNA from 1 species